UUUAUUGAAAAUUAAUAAAUACAUGAAUUUAACUAUUUUCAGAAAUUUCAAUGAUACUAACACUUUCAUCCUGAUGUAUAUGAGAAGGCAAAAUAAAAUUAUAUGGUGUACAUUAACAACAAUUACUCAACAUAUGUUAAUGACAGGAACAUGUUUUUCAUUUGCUAGUAACUUCAACAGUUGAUUUAACUGUGAUACUCAACAAUAUUCAUUACCUUUCUGAAUAAUUUCAUAUUGAUUAAUUUUCCAGUCUUGCCCAGAAUUAUAUAAAAGAAGUUUGUGUAAGAGAGGCUUUGUUGUCAAUCGUCUCAAAAACCUUAAAAUUAAGGUACAGUGAAUCGGAGGUUUUACUGACAGACACUGAAGAUCAGUCAGUAAUUGUGGCUUUGGAGAGGGGUUUUAAGAAAUGUAAGAUGAACAAAGAAAAGUGGUGUGGGAAGCUAGAUUCUUUUAAGGAAAGCAGAAUAAUAGCAUAAUGGAGUUCUGUACAGUAUUAUUCCUGCUACUUCAGUCAGAUGAUUAUCAUAAACAACAUGGAAAUAAACAAUUUAUUUGUUAAUAUAUUUUAUGAAACAGUUAGUAUGUAGAAGGCACGGAUGGACACCAAGAAUAGAACAACCAUCUGCUUAUCUUUAUGAUAUGACUACUUUAAACAAAGUGCCAACAUCUCUUAAAUGGGAAGACAACAAAAUGAAUAUUUUUAUAUAUUGUACAAAUCAUAAAUAAAGUUGUUUUCUUCCAUAAUUGUCUAAUAUGGCUUUGGAAUAUUUGAUUGUUCCUAUAAAAUUUGAAUUAUAAUUACAAAUGUGUUAUGCAUUACAUCAAUUUCACAUUUUUGUGUAGACACUUACAUGGGCCAUUUAGAUUUGCCCUUGUCCGUCCGUUCUCAUGUUGUGUCACACUUAACUCAAAAAGUAUUUGACCUAGAGUCAUAAAACUUUACAGGAAAAUUAGUCAGCAUGUUUAUUUGUAAACUGGGUGUUUGUAUGU